UACGUAGGGAGCAAGCGUUGUCCGGAAUCAUUGGGCGUAAAGCGCGCGUAGGCGGCCUUGUAAGUCCGUUGUGAAAGUCAAAGGCUCAACCUUUGAAAGCCGAUGGAUACUGUGAGGCUAGAGUCCGGAAGAGGCGAGUGGAAUUCCUGGUGUAGCGGUGGAAUGCGCAGAUAUCAGGAGGAACACCAAUAGCGAAGGCAGCGCGCUGGGACGGUACUGACGCUAAGGCGCGAAAGCGUGGGGAGCGAACAGG
rnacentral:rRNA from 1 species